rnacentral:rRNA from 1 species
GGGCCCGCACAAGCGGUGGAGCAUGUGGUUUAAUUCGACGCAACGCGAAGAACCUUACCGGGGUUGGAACGUCCGUGGUUACGGCCUGAGAGGGUCGGUUCCUCGUAAGGGGACUGCGGGCGAGGUGCUGCAUGGCUGUCGUCAGCUCGUGUCGUGAGAUGUUGGGUUAAGUCCCGCAACGAGCGCAACCCUUGUUGGUAGUUGCCAUCAGGUGAAGCUGGGCACUCUACCGAGACCGCCGGCGAUAAGCCGGAGGAAGGUGGGGAUGACGUCAAGUCAUCAUGGCCUUUAUGCCCCGGGCUACACACGUGCUACAAUGGGCGGUACAGAGGGGGGCGAACCCGCGAGGGGGAGCGAAUCCCAGAAAACCGCUCUCAGUUCGGAUUGCAGUCUGCAACUCGACUGCAUGAAGCUGGAAUCGCUAGUAAUCGCGGAUCAGCACGCCGCGGUGAAUACGUUCCCGGGCCUU